AAAAAGACCUGUUUAUUCAAAUUGCCAAUUGAAUACAUUACAUAUUCAUACGAAACAUUUUCUCGUAACGGUAGAGUACAAUUUCAAUUUUUGACUAGUGACGUAACAAUGGAGAUUAAUCGAUUUCUCUGAAUCUUAAAUAAGUUUGGUCAACCAAAUCCUUUAUUUUGGUUUUUACGCCCACUAAUUAGAUUCUAUAAUAAUUACUAGUAUAACGUAAUAACAAAGCCCCAAAAUUAGCUUAGUUGGAAACAGAUGAUCUUCCCUUGAUUUCAUCGGAAAGUUUUGGCAUUAAACAACACCCAUUCAUCUAAUUUCUUCCUUACAAUGCCGGUGGUCCUUUUCCUCUCCCACCCUCCAUUUUGCUACAUUUAUGUAAUGUGUUGAGGGAUAAUCCGGUAGUCAUAUAAGAGCUACUGAGCAAGCUGGUAUGGCAAAUCUAGAAGCUUCUACAGGAAUUGGGAAAACCAGGUCCUCCUAGUGAAUUAUGCGAGAUCUUCAAAGGAGGCAGAAGAAGUUUCCAAAGAGUUGAAAGUUGAGGCCAUGGAACAGUAUUUCUGACUUCCGAGUGAUGUUUGGAAGAGUAUUCCCGCACUUCUUUCACCAUUAUGAGUGCUGAAUGAUUCAUAUUGAGGGACCUGUGGCAAAUGCAUCAUAUAUACUUGGAUGCCUUAAAGGAUACUCUCAGUUCUACAUUUUCUGAAGUGAAGAGCAAGGUCUCCUAUAACUCCGAAAACUGGCUGAGUCCUAAGUAAUGUGGAGAUGUCUGGUGACCAGUCAAGUCAUGAUGCUUGUUUAUUUUGUGCAGCGAGAAGAUUGGCUUGUUCUUGUAUGUGUUUGUAUUUAGUAGCUGAUGCUACUAGCAGGACUAAGUUUUUAUUUUGUGCGUAAUGGUUAAUGCUUGUUUGACAAAUAACAAAAGCUUACCAGGAGUGCCAAAAAACUCUAGUGUCUCCAAUUCCUGAACACCCCACCCCCCGGCUAACCCAAUGCUAUUAUACUAUGACUUGGGUUCUCCUUACCCACAUGAAAGUACCUUUCCUUACCAAUUUGCCUUCAUAAAGAAAAAGAUUGAAUGCCAUGCUUCUAAAAUGUGGGGGUUCAAUGGGGAGAACAGAUUGGCAUUGUUAGCGGCACAUUAUCAGGAAUGGAUUUAAUCAACAGAUUCCCCGUGCUUGCUCAGGUUGGAUUGUUUUGUAUUAGCUGAUGCUUACCAAAUUUUGUAAGGUUAAGUUUCUAUUUCAUGCGUAAUAACAGUAGACUGUCUAACAACUUGUUUGCCAAAUCCUUUCAUUAAGUGCUAUGUAGAAUGUUUAACAGUAGCUCAUGGAGUGCUUGUUUCAUCCGCAAUCUGAGAACAGCUAUAAGGUUCAUCUGUAGUCCUUUUGACGUCUUCCCCUAAAUUGAAUUUAAUUUCCUAUUUUGU